AUUGAACGCUGGCGGCAGGCCUAACACAUGCAAGUCGAACGGUAACAGGAAGACGCUUGCUUCUUUGCUGACGAGUGGCGGACGGGUGAUUAAUGUCUGGGAAACUGCCUGAUGGAGGGGGAUAACUACUGGAAACGGUAGCUAAUACCGCAUAACGUCGCAAGACCAAAGAGGGGGACCUUCGGGCCUCUUGCCAUCGGAUGUGCCCAGAUGGGAUUAGCUAGUAGGUGGGGUAACGGCUCACCUAGGCGACGAUCCCUAGCUGGUCUGAGAGGAUGACCAGCCACACUGGAACUGAGACACGGUCCAGACUCCUACGGGAGGCAGCAGUGGGGAAUAUUGCACAAUGGGCGCAAGCCUGAUGCAGCCAUGCCGCGUGUAUGAAGAAGGCCUUCGGGUUGUAAAGUACUUUCAGCGGGGAGGAAGGGAGUAAAGUUAAUACCUUUGCUCAUUGACGUUACCCGCAGAAGAAGCACCGGCUAACUCCGUG
rnacentral:rRNA from 1 species